rnacentral:rRNA from 1 species
GUAGGUGGCAAGCGUUGUCCGGAAUUAUUGGGCGUAAAGCGCGCGCAGGCGGUCCUUUAAGUCUGAUGUGAAAGCCCACGGCUCAACCGUGGAGGGUCAUUGGAAACUGGGGGACUUGAGUACAGAAGAGGAAAGCGGAAUUCCAAGUGUAGCGGUGAAAUGCGUAGAGAUUUGGAGGAACACCAGUGGCGAAGGCGGCUUUCUGGUCUGUAACUGACGCUGAGGCGCGAAAGCGUGGGGAGCAAACAGGGAUUAGAUACCCUGGUAGUCCACGCCGUAAACGAUGAGUGCUAAGUGUUAGGGGGGUUUCCCGCCCCUUAGUGCUGCAGCUAACGCAUUAAGCACUCCGCCUGGGGGAGUACGGCCCGCAAGGCUG